UAACCGUAGGUGAACCUGCGGUUGGAUCAUUAACGCUAAACUACCCAAACCUUUUCCCUCCGCCGCCCGCCCCAACACGGCGGCGGCAGAGGGGAAAUCACCGAGCGAACCGUUGAAGUCUCCGACAGUGCCCUGCACUGGCGGAACCAUUUAUUAAAAACAACAAAAACAACAAACCCAUUCGUCUGAAACGAGUUUUGCGCUCCGCAAGGAGGCGGCAAAAUGGAAAUUACAAAGAACCAAUGACAACUUUUAACAAUGGAUAUCUUGGCUCUC
rnacentral:misc_RNA from 1 species